CACGUAGGCACCAAGCGUUGUCCGGAUUUAUUGGGCGUAAAGAGCUCGUAGGCGGUUCAGUAAGUCAGGUGUGAAAUCUUUGGGCUUAACCCAAAGCGUGCACUUGAUACUGCUGUGACUUGAGUUCGGUAGGGGAGUGGGGAAUUCCUAGUGUAGCGGUGAAAUGCGCAGAUAUUAGGAGGAACACCGGUGGCGAAGGCGCCACUCUGGGCCGAAACUGACGCUGAGGGGCGAAAGCGUGGGUAGCAAACAGG
rnacentral:rRNA from 1 species